GACGAACGCUGGCGGCGUGCUUAACACAUGCAAGUCGAACGGAAAGGCCCCUUUGGGGGUACUCGAGUGGCGAACGGGUGAGUAACACGUGAGUAACCUGCCCUUGACUUCGGGAUAACUUCAGGAAACUGGGGCUAAUACCGGAUAGGAAUCCUUGCUGCAUGGUGGGGGUUGGAAAGCUUCGGCGGGUUUGGAUGGACUCGCGGCUUAUCAGCUUGUUGGUGGGGUAGUGGCUUACCAAGGCUUUGACGGGUAGCCGGCCUGAGAGGGCGACCGGCCACAUUGGGACUGAGAUACGGCCCAGACUCCUACGGGAGGCAGCAGGGGGGAAUAUUGCACAAUGGGCGGAAGCCUGAUGCAGCAACGCCGCGUGCGGGAUGACGGCCUUCGGGUUGUAAACCGCUUUCAGCAGGGGCGAAGCUUGUGGUGACGGUACCUGCAGAAGAAGCACCGGCUAACUACGUG
rnacentral:rRNA from 1 species